UUCAUUGCGAAAGAGAAGAAGUUGUCAUUGUCAGUCUCCAUUUUGUUUUGAACUGCUUACUGUUCGUAUUCUUUAAUUAUUAAAACUUUUUUGCUUUAAAACUAAGUCAAAGUUUUGGCUGUCACUAUGGCAUCUGGUAGUUCGUCUUUGGAUAACCGAAAUUCAGAAGAAACUAUCUCGCUUGACGAUUUGAGGGGCACGGAUUUUGUGAAUCAAGCUUUACCAACCAUAGUGGCUUGUAUAGAAAGGGAUGAUUUUGAUGAAACCACUGCAUCUAUGCUUUAUUCGAUGCUUCGUUUUCUUCAUGGCCACAUGUUAGAUUCGGUUGCAAGUGUCGAAAAAUCAAAAUAUAGCUUGGGUAGCAUUGCAGAAAAAGUUGCGGAAAAUGAUGCAACUAUAAAUUUAUGUGCCAAACUGAUGAACUCGGCUGCAUCUCCAGAGGUACUCAAAAAUUUUACUCCCGAUCAGCAGAAAGAAAUCCAAGAAAUGAAAAGCUUUUUAACAAUUGCGGGAGCAAAUCCUGCAUUACGCGGUAGAAAAAGAAAAUUCGAAGAUCCUAAAGAUGAAGAAAUUGCAAAAUUGAAGUCGCAAAUAGCGGCGAUGAAUGAAGAACUAGAGUACCAAAAAAAGGUCCACGAAGAGCUGAUGGACCGUUUUGAGCAAAUGGAUACUCAGUUCAAUAUUUAUCGUUAUGAAAAUGAGCAAAAGUUGUCCGAAUGUCUUCUGAACUCUGAACUUAUUAAGCAGGCUUAUUUGAGGGUGUUGUUUGACUUUAAUGGAGCAUAGAAUUCAAGUUUCCUCUAAAUCUUUUCGGGUUUUGGUGUGUAUUAUAUUUCAGUUUAAAAUAUACAUAUGUAAUAUAUACAUUGGAUUUCAAACAAACAAAAAACAAGUGACUUUUUUUUCAAUCACUCAUCAAAUGUUUUUCUUAGAGCAAGAACUGAAAAUGAUUUAUCAAUGAAUUUUGAACCAUAUCUAUUAAGAUAAACCAAAACAAUUUUGAUGUUUUAUGCAGUAGUAACUUUUAUUAUAGAUAUGGUGGGGCAAUGUUUGAUUCCUUUCAUCCCUUUCUAUGUAUUUCAUGUUAUUCCUUCAAUAAAUUAUAAUUGACUAGUGUAA